GUCUGAUGUGAAAGCCUUCGGCUCACCGAAGAAGUGCAUCGGAAACUGGGAAACUUGAGUGCAGAAGAGGACAGUGGAACUCCAUGUGUAGCGGUGAAAUGCGUAGAUAUAUGGAAGAACACCAGUGGCGAAGGCGGCUGUCUGGUCUGUAACUGACGCUGAGGCUCGAAAGUAUGGGUAGCAAACAGGAUUAGAUACCCUGGUAGUCCAUACCGUAAACGAUGAAUGCUAAGUGUUGGAGGGUUUCCGCCCUUCAGUGCUGCAGCUAACGCAUUAAGCAUUCCGCCUGGGGAGUACGGCCGCAAGGCUGAAACUCAAAGGAAUUGACGGGGGCCCGCACAAGCGGUGGAGCAUGUGGUUUAAUUCGAAGCUACGCGAAGAACCUUACCAGGUCUUGACAUACUAUGCAAAUCUAAGAGAUUAGACGUUCCCUUCGGGGACAUGGAUACAGGUGGUGCAUGGUUGUCGUCAGCUCGUGUCGUGAGAUGUUGGGUUAAGUCCCGCAACGAGCGCAACCCUUAUUAUCAGUUGCCAGCAUUAAGUUGGGCACUCUGGUGAGACUGCCGGUGACAAACCGGAGGAAGGUGGGGAUGACGUCAAAUCAUCAUGCCCCUUAUGACCUGGGCUAA
rnacentral:rRNA from 1 species